rnacentral:tRNA from 1 species
GCCUGGGUGGCUCAGUGGGUUGACCACCUGACUUCAGCUCAGGUCAUGAUCUCAUGGUUGGUGGGUUCAAACUCCACAUCAGGCU